AUUCCAGACUCGUGUGUGGCUGCUUGCGCAGCUGCUCCGUGCCAGGCUUGGAGGACCAGGAGAAGGGGUAGUCACUUGCCACAGCUGGAGGCUGGAGCAUGUGGCACCACAGCUCUCCUCGCUGUGGCGGGUGCUGGCAACAGAGACGGCAGCUCGGCUGGACUGCUAGGAGGGGGCUGUUAUUGUCAUACAAAUUACAUCUUUAUACAUGUUGCGCUGAACAACAAGUGGAUUUGUAGGUGUUUCUUUGUGAAGUUAUCUUCUAAAUCAGAUUUGCUGAGAUUUGUUUUGUGGCCUAACAUCUGAUCUACCCUGAAGACACUUCCAUGUGCUGAUGAGGAGAAUGCAUACUCUUCAGCUGUUGAGUGGGAUGUUCUGUGAAUAUCUGGUAAAAAAACUGAGGCUUAGAAACAUUGAAAAAAACUUGCUCAACGUUGCAAAACAAGAAAUUUGUGACACUGGAAUUGACAUCUACAAGGGACUGAUGUAACUAAUUGCUGGAUACAUGUCCCUCAAAGACACAGAAACAGAUCUUGUAUUCUAGUGGAUCUCCGGCACCCAGUGAGGGCCUGAAACAGAGUACAUGUCCAACAAAUAAUUAUUGAAGUAAAGAUUGACAUUUCAGGAGCAGAGAUUAAUAUUCAAAAACAAAGAUGAGAAUUUUGGCAGAAAAGUCAAAAUGAGGUUCCAACGUGGCUCAACAUGGCAGUUCCUGAUCCUGACUUUGCUUAAAAUUUGGUACUUUAUCACAAAUUUUAAAAUUAAUUUUGAUUUCUCAAAAUAUUGAUUAAAAUGUUUGUCUCUACUA